GAAAACCUACCCAUUUAUUCCCAGGAUGCCUUUUAGCUCUUCCGUGCUGAGUAACCCCUUAACCUCAUUCUGGAGUUUAGCUAGUAGAAAGCACUGCUUCCCAGUUCUCGCGAAAGUUCGUUUUACGCGGCUGUUUCGCGUUUGAGCCGUCGCCGUUUAGUAACACCCAGAAAAUUCGUCUGCUGUGCUAAAGUAAACAAAUCAUUAAAGUCGUGUCGGCUCGAUCUCGAAGCCGUUUGAAGCGUUAGUUGGCCACAGAGUAAGUCAUUGACGUAGCCAAAAUUCAUAACGAUUGCGUUCGUUUUUCGUUUGAGGCCAUUCCCUGCAAGCUACGGUCGAGGAUGAAACCGCAAGUGUUUGUAGUUUUAUCCCUUUCUCUCCAUUCGUCAAGGAAUCUCUUCAGAUAACUGACUCUGCCAGACUCGACCAGCGGACACGGUUGUCAUUGUCGACAUGGCAGCCAUGAGCAGGAAAAUUCACAAGACAUUCAUCCUAGACUGUAGGAAGGAGAUGAAACACACAGAUCAACUGAUGCUUCUUGGUUUGAAUCUCGAGUUGAAGUGGAUCCUUUUAUACGGAGGGAACUGC